rnacentral:tRNA from 1 species
GGAGGGGUAGCAUAGCCCGGCCUAAUGCGCCCGUCUCGAAAACGGGUAAGGUGUGACAGCCUUCGUGGGUUCGAAUCCCACCCCCUCCGCCA